rnacentral:rRNA from 1 species
UGAAUACGAGACGCUACGGCGUCGAAGCAGUCUAUGUCAUACUUCCAAGAAAAGCUCGCAAUGUCAUAAACAAAUAAUGCCUGUACCAUAACCGACACAGGUGGGUAGGUAGAGUAUACUAAGGGGCGCGAGAUAACUCUCUCUAAGGAACUCGGCAAAAUGACUCCGUAACUUCGGGAGAAGGAGUGCCUUAUUUAUAAGGUUGCAAUAACAAGAUCCAAGCAACUGUUUAUCAAAAACACAGGUCUCCGCUAGGUCGUAAGACGAUGUAUGGGGGCUGACGCCUGCCCAGUGCCAGAAGGUUAAAGAAGUUGGUUAGCAUUCGCGAAGCUGAUAACUGAAGCCCUGGUGAACGGCGGCCGUAACAAUAACGGUCCUAAGGUAGCGAAAUUCCUUGUCGGGUAAGUUCCGACCCGCACGAAAGGCGUAAUGAUUUGGAUACUGUCUCGGAGAGGGGCUCGGUGAAAUAGACUUGUCUGUGAAGAUGCGGACUACCUGCACCUGGACAGAAAGACCCUAUGAAGCUUUACUGUAACUUGAAAUUGAAAUUGGACUUUAUUUGCGCAGCAUAGGUGGGAGGCGUUGAGAGUAUUCUUGCGGGAAUAUUGGAGCCAUCAGUGAGAUACCACUCUUGUAAUGUUAGAUUUCUAACUUUGUAUCCUAAUCGGGUCAAAGAACAGUUUCAGGCGGGCAGUUUGACUGGGGCGGUCGCCUCCCAAACGGUAACGGAGGCGUACAAAGGUUUCCUCUGAACAGGUAGAAAUCGUAUCUAGAGUGUAAAGGCAUAAGGAAGCUUGACUGUGAGACCUACAAGUCGAGCAGGGACGAAAGUCGGUCUUAGUGAUCUGACGGUGCUGAGUGGAAAGGCCGUCACUCAACGGAUAAAAGUUACUCUAGGAUAACAGGCUGAUCUCCCCCAAGAGUUCACAUCGACGGGGAGGUUUGGCACCUCGAUGUCGGCUCAUCGCAUCCUGGGGCGGUAGUACGUCCCAAGGGUUGGGCUGUUCGCCCAUGAAAGCGGUACGCGAGCUGGGUUCAGAACGUCGUGAGACAGUUCGGUCCAUAUCCGGUGUAGGCGUUAGAAUAUUGAGAGGAGCCUUCUUUAGUACGAGAGGACCGAGAAGGACAUACCUCUGGUGUACCAGUUAUCGUGCCAACGGUAAACGCUGGGUAGCUAUGUAUGGAGAGGAUAACCGCUGAAAGCAUCUAAGUGGGAAGCCCACCUCAAGAUAAGUAUUCUCAUCACGUAAGUGAAUAAGGUCACGGUAAGACUAACCGUUUGAUAGGCAUUAAGUGUAAAUCUGGUAAUAGGUGAGCUGAGAUGUACUAACAGACCGAAGACUUGAAUAA